CACGUAGGGGGCGAGCGUUGUCCGGAUUCAUUGGGCGUAAAGGGCGCGCAGGCGGCCCGGAAAGUCGGAUGUGAAAACUCGAGGCUCAACCUCGAGCGUGCACCCGAUACUGCCGGGCUUGAGGCAGGUAGGGGAGAUCGGAAUUCCUGGUGUAGCGGUGAAAUGCGCAGAUAUCAGGAGGAACACCGGUGGCGAAGGCAGCUCGCUGGGACGGUACUGACGCUGAGACGCGAAAGCGUGGGGAGCAAACAGG
rnacentral:rRNA from 1 species